rnacentral:rRNA from 1 species
UACGUAGGGACCGAGCGUUGUCCGGAAUCAUUGGGCGUAAAGAGCGUGUAGGCGGCUCUUUAAGUCCUGCGUGAAAUCCUGCGGCUCAACCGCAGACGGUCGUGGGAAACUGGAUGGCUAGAGUGCGGGAGAGGAGAGUGGAAUUCCCGGUGUAGCGGUGAAAUGCGCAGAUAUCGGGAAGAACACCGGUGGCGAAGGCGGCACGCUGGAACGCAACUGACGCUGAGAAGCGAAAGCGUGGGGAGCAAACAGG